rnacentral:tRNA from 1 species
GAGGACCUAGUAUAAUCAUUAUAACUACUUUCCAAGUAGUGGGUCCUGGGGCUACCGGGGGUCCUCA